CACGUAGGGCGCAAGCGUUGUCCGGAAUUAUUGGGCGUAAAGAGCUCGUAGGCGGUUUGCCGCGUCUGCUGUGAAAACCCGAGGCUCAACCUCGGGCCUGCAGUGGGUACGGGCAGACUAGAGUGCGGUAGGGGGAGAUUGGAAUUCCUGGUGUAGCGGUGGAAUGCGCAGAUAUCAGGAGGAACACCAAUGGCGAAGGCAGAUCUCUGGGCCGUAACUGACGCUGAGGAGCGAAAGCAUGGGGAGCGAACAGG
rnacentral:rRNA from 1 species